rnacentral:rRNA from 1 species
UUGAACGCUGGCGGCAGGCCUAACACAUGCAAGUCGAACGGUAACAGGAAGAAGCUUGCUUCUUUGCUGACGAGUGGCGGACGGGUGAGUAAUGUCUGGGAAACUGCCUGAUGGAGGGGGAUAACUACUGGAAACGGUAGCUAAUACCGCAUAACGUCGCAAGACCAAAGAGGGGGACCUUCGGGCCUCUUGCCAUCGGAUGUGCCCAGAUGGGAUUAGCUAGUAGGUGGGGUAAAGGCUCACCUAGGCGACGAUCCCUAGCUGGUCUGAGAGGAUGACCAGCCACACUGGAACUGAGACACGGUCCAGACUCCUACGGGAGGCAGCAGUGGGGAAUAUUGCACAAUGGGCGCAAGCCUGAUGCAGCCAUGCCGCGUGUAUGAAGAAGGCCUUCGGGUUGUAAAGUACUUUCAGCGGGGAGGAAGGGAGUAAAGUUAAUACCUUUGCUCAUUGACGUUACCCGCAGAAGAAGCACCGGCUAACUCCGUG